UUUGGUCUAAUUUGGUGAAAGAAAGAAUGUGUUGUUAUAAUUAUGGUAUUCUUUGAAGGGUGACGUAAAAUUUUUCAGACGAAAAUUGACGGAACAACAAAUCGACGUUUCGUUAAUUCAAUAUCGUUCCAAUUUUUUUUUGCAAAUCAUUCCCGUUAGGUCUUUCACCAUUCUCUCAAAUCUCAACACUUCACCCUAUUAUUUUCAUCCGAGUAUUGCGCAGGAGAUAAGACACCACACCGCUGCCGCCCCUGAUUUUCUUUACAACAGAAAAACUUGAUUUCUCGCAGAGAGGAGAGACAACGCUGCCGCCCCUGUUCUUCGUCGUUCAUCGGAUUUCUGUUCAUCGGCUUCAGAUUCAGAUUCUCUCUCACAAAUAGACCUCGAAGAUGCCUGGGCUCACCUGCAAUGCGUGCAAUAAGGAAUUUGAAGAUGAUUUACUGCAAAAGCUUCAUUACAAAUCUGAAUGGCACCGUUACAAUCUCAAAAGGAAGGUCUGUUUUCCAUUUUCGUCUUU